GGGUCCAGGGGAUUAUGGAAACAGGAUAUGCGCCACUGUUAGGAGGAGGGGGGUCAGAGAAAAGGGAAUAUUUAAUGAGGGUCUGCAGCAGGGACGUGCACACAUAGGAGUGAAAGGGGGCUGGAGCCCCUGCCCUUUUCCUCACCUGCCCCUCUAGUGCCCUCACAAAAGGAGGUGCAGACUCAGGCUGACAAGUGAAGUAAAAAGGAUCCAUUGCUGGAGAUUUGUAUGUGGUUUAAUGGAGGGUGCUGUGCCCUCCCUGCAGCAAGGGGGCGCCACUCACCCUGUCAUUAUCUGCCAUUUCUUUGCUUCUCUCCACACGGAGGAGACAGGAGCAGAGGAGGCAGAGGGAGGCAAAUGGAGGCCCCGCCCACAACAUGUCCGGCCACAAACCAGUCUAAGCAGCCCUUACUAGGAUCAGAAUGCAUUGGCAUAGUGAGGAGACGUCUGGGCAUCAAGUUCUGCAGAGAGAAGAUUUAGCUGGAACAAAUCCUGGCGCCAAUCAGAGAGCAGCACUACUGAAAUAGAACUCCCAGGAGUGAGGGGCCGGUGCUGGACACUGUGUAGGGACACGGGAAUGCAAAGUCAUACACAUGACUGUGACUGAUGCACUAUCUCCAGGACAUGGAGUAGCAUUUCCGGACCUACAGCAAGACGUUGGAUGAAGGCAUAGCCCCAGAAAUAACACUGGUCCUGUCCAUCAGUGAGGGGCCGGUGCUGGACACUGUGUAGGGACACGGGAAUGCAAAGUCAUGCACAUGACUGUGACUGAUGCACUAUUUCCAGGACAUGGAGUAGCAUUUCGGGACCUACAGCAAGACGUUGGAUGAAGGCACAGGCCUAGGAAUCAUGCACAUACACAGAAACAUUUGCCCAAAUUCUAGAGGUAACCUCCUUUAGUAUGCCCAGAGGAAGGGCCAUACAGUAGCCAUGGAUUCCCUACAGGUUUCCUCCCCUCUGGAGGUUUUUCCUGUCCUGAGUAUUAGUUACUGUACGCUCUUUGUGAGUGAUGGGAGGUUACAAAAAAUCCCCUACACAAACAUUUUAAUAAAUAAUAAAUAAAGUUCCCCUUUUUUUAAACUGUUC